rnacentral:rRNA from 1 species
CAUCGCAUGGUGGUUGGUGGAAAGCUUUUUGUGGUUUUGGAUGGACUCGCGGCCUAUCAGCUUGUUGGUGAGGUAAUGGCUUACCAAGGCGACGACGGGUAGCCGGCCUGAGAGGGUGACCGGCCACACUGGGACUGAGACACGGCCCAGACUCCUACGGGAGGCAGCAGUGGGGAAUAUUGCACAAUGGGCGCAAGCCUGAUGCAGCGACGCCGCGUGAGGGAUGACGGCCUUCGGGUUGUAAACCUCUUUCAGUAGGGAAGAAGCGAAAGUGACGGUACCUGCAGAAGAAGCGCCGGCUAACUACGUGCCAGCAGCCGCGGUAAUACGUAGGGCGCAAGCGUUAUCCGGAAUUAUUGGGCGUAAAGAGCUCGUAGGCGGUUUGUCGCGUCUGCCGUGAAAGUCCGGGGCUCAACUCCGGAUCUGCGGUGGGUACGGGCAGACUAGAGUGAUGUAGGGGAGACUGGAAUUCCUGGUGUAGCGGUGAAAUGCGCAGAUAUCAGGAGGAACACCGAUGGCGAAGGCAGGUCUCUGGGCAUUAACUGACGCUGAGGAGCGAAAGCAUGGGGAGCGAACAGGAUUAGAUACCCUGGUAGUCCAUGCCGUAAACGUUGGGCACUAGGUGUGGGGGG